UUCAGAGAAAAGUUAUCCAAGGGAGAGGCAGAGUGGCAGGAUAUUACUGAGUUACACAGCUGAGUUAUAGCAUUUGAGGGACCUUAAGUGGUCUCCAACUCGACUCCACAGUAGUGCAUCAGCGCCUAACAGAUAAUCUGAUCUGGAUAUAUCAAUAAAAUAACCAGGCUGCUCUCCUCCAUUGGUAAGGUUUAGGACCCUGCCAGGAUGUUUUGCUGCGGGAUCCAGGAAAUCAAGAGCUUUUUCUGGAGAACCUUACAGUGAUGUGACACUUACACAUCUUCUAAAGCUGGAAUCCUGCCCACUGGUUUUCUCUCUUUCAGCUUCUAAUAACAUCCUCUCGUCACACCUUUUCUCUCCGUACGGCGGCUGAGUUGUGCAGCAGUUUAUCAGGGAACAACAGCUAGAAUUGGAACCAACAACCUACACAUACGUGAGGUCCACAAAGGUCCAGACCUCUCAAGGCGUUACUAAAGUAGACACACCAGACUGGGUUCAGAAACCUUCCAGAGGACACACUGCCCGGUAAAAACCUCUUGGCUGGUGGGGUGAUGCCCGGUGUGACACGGACCACUGUGGACGGAACCUGCCAGGCUUUAUGCAGAACACUGGUGUCCCAGAACGGCAUCCAGCGAGACGCGGGGGACAUCUCCAAGUCUGUCCUCUAUACGUCCCUGAUGGGGCUUCUUCUGGUCGCCGACAGAGAGACAGAACAGCUCCAAGUCGGUAGUGGGAGAGUUGGCCUUCAAAAUGUUGGAAACACAUGUUUUCUCAAUGCGGUGGUACAGUGUCUGUCCCACACCAGAGCGCUCAGAGACUACUGCCUGGUUAAAGCCUACAGACAGGAGAUGUGUUCUAGAGAGGAUCCAGCGCUAA
ensembl:lncRNA